rnacentral:piRNA from 1 species
UGUUAAGUAAGGUGUGCCUUGCUUUAAGC